rnacentral:lncRNA from 1 species
AUGGAUACUGAUGAGUUUGGAGGUAAAUUCCAUGUUACUCUGACUAUUAGCUACUUUUAUAGGGAAAAGGAGCUGGCAAUAUCACCAGCAAGAAAAGAGGAUUAGUUAAGCUGAUAUCAGUAGAAGAUGAUGCACCUAUCAGCAUUGCAGAGAAUUUUCUUGAGAGAAUUAUAACUUUCUUUAAAAGUUUUACUUUUGUUAUUCACAAACUAGAAGAGGACACCAGCAGCCUUUUGACCAAUAGCAGAGCUACCCAUAGACUCCUAACCUCUCCAAGGAUUGUAUCUCUCUCAGUGGAAAAGAUGGUCACAAGAUCAUGAAAAGAGUACAGAAGUUCACAACUGCAUAGCUGAACAAGCCAGUACUUUGCUGGUGUUCUUUAACCCAUCCUUUAGUAUGUCAAACAGAUUUUCUUUGUCACAUUCAAUGCCUCUCUUGCCCAAAGGUGCAACCAUCCUGGGCUGGCCAAAACUGUCAAAUUCUCUAAUCACAGCUAUACUAUGACCUGUCUGUUUCUCAGUCUUCACCAGAGAAACCAUUUCUUGAGCACAUUCCCUUCAAGGAGUGUAUGUCAUUCCACAGCCAGAGUUAACCCAACUGUACCAGUUUGGUAAUAAAUUUUAUUUUCCAGCAUAUUAGAACAUUAGGUCAGCAGCACUGAAGAGUAUUACAUUCAGAUUGUCACAGGUGAAGGGACAUUACACAGAUUUAGAUGCAUCUACUCAGAUGGCUCUCAUAGGCUCGCAGUUUGAUGGGUUGAAAAACUGGGUAUAAGAGUGCCAAAAUCAAUGAGAUCUGAAGUGAAAGUCAAAAUUGUGGACCUGGUAGAGGGAUCAGCAAAUCAGAAGAAAGCUGACAUUGCUGCCAGCAUUAGCCUAGCUCAGUAGCUAUUCAAUGUCAACCUUUCCUUGGAGAUACUUAGCAUGAUAAAAGCUAAC